GAACGAGAAAGUGGAGCAAUCCAUGAGUAAAGUGGCGACCGGGUGAGUAACACGUGACUAACCUACCCUAGAGUGGGGGAUAACCUCGGGAAACCGGGGCUAAUACCGCAUAACAUCGCAAGGGGAAGUUCCUUGCGAUCAAAGGAGCAAUUCGCUCAAGGAGGGGGUCGCGGCUGAUUAGCUAGUUGGUGAGGUAACGGCUCACCAAGGCGAAGAUCAGUAGCCGGCCUGAGAGGGCGCACGGCCACACUGGAACUGAAACACGGUCCAGACUCCUACGGGAGGCAGCAGUGGGGAAUUUUGCGCAAUGGGGGAAACCCUGACGCAGCAACGCCGCGUGGAGGAUGAAGCCCUUUGGGGCGUAAACUCCUUUCGACCAAGACGAUAAUGACGGUACUGGUGGAAGAAGCACCGGCUAACUCUGUG
rnacentral:rRNA from 1 species